rnacentral:rRNA from 1 species
AUGGAUGGGCAGAGCAGAAAGCACAGGAUUUUGAUGGUGUCUGACUUUUUCUUCCCAAACUUUGGCGGUGUGGAAAGCCACAUCUAUUAUCUAUCGCAGUGCCUCCUUAAGCUUCGCCAUAAGGUUGUUGUCAUGACACAUGCAUAUGGGAAACGUUCUGGAGUACGAUAUGUUACUGACGGCUUGAAGGUUUAUUAUGUGCCAUGGAGGCCAUUCCUGAUGCAGAAUACACUGCCUACAUUAUUCAUGACAUUUCCAAUUAUAAGGACCAUUCUUAUUCGUGAGAAGAUAUCAGUUGUGCAUGGGCAUCAGGCCUUUUCAACAAUGUGCCAUGAAGCAUUGAUGCAUGCUAGGACGAUGGGGUACAAAGUUGUCUUCACGGACCACUCGCUUUAUGGUUUUGCUGAUGUUGGAAGCAUUCACAUGAAUAAGGUGCUGCAGUUUACUCUUGCAGAUAUUGAUCAGGCCAUAUGUGUAUCUCACACAAGCAAAGAGAACACUGUCUUGAGGUCAGGGAUAUCUCCAGAGAAGGUUUUCAUGGUUCCUAAUGCAGUGGAUACUACAAUGUUUACUCCCUCCUCGAACCGCUUAAGCUGUGCCGACCUUCUUGUUGAAGUCAUUCCAGAAGUAUGCCAUUUAUUUCCAAAGGUUCGUUUUAUUGUUGGAGGCGAUGGUCCAAAACGUGUGCGACUUGAAGAGAUGAGGGAGAAGUUCUCCCUUCAGAAUAGAGUUGAGAUCCUUUGCUCUUGUAGUUCGCUUACAGAAGCAUUUUGCAUAGCCAUUCUGGAAGCAGCAAGCUGCGGGCUGUUGACAGUAAGCACUAGAGUCGGAGGGGUUCCAGAGGUUCUACCAGAUGACAUGAUAGUGCUUGCAGAACCAGAUCCAGAAGAUAUGGUACGAGCUGUCAGGCAAGCCAUCGACAUACUUUCUGGUAUAGAUCCCCAAAUUAUGCAUCGUCCGAUGAAAAAACUCUAUAGUUGGGAUGAUGUGGCCAAAAGAACAGAGAUUGUCUACGAUCGUGCAAUGCAGUCAUCAAACACUAAUUUGCUAGAUCGUCUUCCCCGAUACCUCACAUGUGGAGUUUGGGCAGGCAAACUGUUUUGCCUCGUUAUGAUCAUAAAUUACCUUGUGUGGUGCCUUCUAGAAUUCCUCUGGCCCGCUGAAGGUAUUGAAGAGGUCUCAGAUAUAGGGCCACUGCACAUUCAAUUGGAUUCAGCAGAUGACCAGUGUGAGAUGCAAGUAAAUUGA